rnacentral:tRNA from 1 species
GGGUUGCUAACUCAAUUGGUUAGAGUCCUCGGCUUUUAACCGAGAAGUUCUGGGUUCGAGUCCCAGGCAUCCCACCA